UAAAGAUGGCAGACUGAACACAUCAGUGUAGAUCGACUCAAGAUAAAAACAUAAUAUUCAAUAUCAGUAAAUUAAACUAAAUAUUAGCACUUUACAAACUAAUGGGUUAAAACCCAAAACAAAUCGUAAGGCUGGAGAAAUUAUCGACAGAUAUUACGAAAACAAGCAACACCCAAACAUGACGGAGAGUAAGACAGGGGAACCGAUCCCGAAAAGAAAACGUGACUCUUCGACAGACAAAGACGAUUUAAUAUUUUCACCACCGGGAAUGGCCGGUGGUUCCUGGUCCUCUACCUGAUGCUGUCCCCCACGACCCCCCCCCGGACAUUGAGGAGGAGCCCCGCGUACGCUGUCAAUUCCCUAUUGGACUCCCGAUGUCAUGGGGGUCGGCUCCAGUAUCUGGUGGACUGGAAGGGGUAUGGCCCAGAGGAGCGGUGUUGGGUUCCUGGGGAGGAAAUUCUGGACCCCAACAUCAUCCGUGAUUUCCACCUUCGCCGCCCGGAACGACCCGCUCCUCAGGGUCAUCCCCCUGGUUGGCGUCGUCCUGCAGCUGGAGCCACAAGUCAGAGGGGUGGUACUGUCACGUCUGCUCCUGCUCCUCCCCUCCGGCGUACGACGUCGCCAGAGUACUAACCACCGGUCCUGGGAUUCAUCAUUAUGCACACCUGGCACUCAUCAUUACACGCACCUGUGAAUCAUUAUGAUUCACACCUGGACUCCAUUACCUUCAUCAUUUCCUCCCCUUUAUAUGUCACGGUCCCAUGUUCACUCACCAGUUGGUAUUGUUCUUGUGUAUCGGUGUACUGCCUUAUUAAGUUAGUGUUGGUUUCUUGGUUUUGUUGUUUUAUUAAAACAUUUCACGUGCACCUGC